AGUCGAGGGGUAUAUGUCUUCGGAUAUAGAGACCGGCGCACGGGUGCGUAACGCGUAUGCAACCUACCUUUCACAGGGGGAUAGCCCAGAGAAAUUUGGAUUAAUACCCCAUGGUAUAUAGAGAUGGCAUCAUUUUUAUAUUAAAGUCACAACGGUGAAAGAUGGGCAUGCGUCCCAUUAGCUAGAUGGCAAGGUAGCGGCUUACCAUGGCUACGAUGGGUAGGGGUCCUGAGAGGGAGAUCCCCCACACUGGUACUGAGACACGGACCAGACUCCUACGGGAGGCAGCAGUGAGGAAUAUUGGACAAUGGGCGCAAGCCUGAUCCAGCCAUGCCGCGUGCAGGAUGACGGUCCUAUGGAUUGUAAACUGCUUUUAUACGGGAAGAAACCCCGCCUCGUGAGGCGGAUUGACGGUACCGUAAGAAUAAGGAUCGGCUAACUCCGUGCCAGCAGCCGCGGUAAUACGGAGGAUCCAAGCGUUAUCCGGAAUCAUUGGGUUUAAAGGGUCCGUAGGCGGCCUUAUAAGUCAGUGGUGAAAUCUCCCGGCUCAACCGGGAAAUUGCCAUUGAUACUGUAGGGCUUGAAUUAUUAG
rnacentral:rRNA from 1 species